rnacentral:rRNA from 1 species
UACGGAGGGGGCUAGCGUUGUUCGGAAUUACUGGGCGUAAAGCGCACGCAGGCGGAUCGAUAAGUCGGGGGUGAAAGCCCGGGGCUCAACCUCGGAAUUGCCUUCGAUACUGUCGGUCUCGAGUCCGGGAGAGGUGAGUGGAAUUCCUAGUGUAGAGGUGAAAUUCGUAGAUAUUAGGAAGAACACCAGUGGCGAAGGCGGCUCACUGGCCCGGUACUGACGCUCAGGUGCGAAAGCGUGGGGAGCAAACACG